rnacentral:rRNA from 1 species
AGCGAACGCUGGCGGCAGGCUUAACACAUGCAAGUCGAGCGCCUGUAGCAAUACAGGAGCGGCAGACGGGAGAGUAACACGUGGGAAUAUGCCCUUCGGUUCGGAAUAACUCAGGGAAACUUGAGCUAAUACCGGAUACGCCCUUACGGGGACAGAUUUAUUGCCGAAGGAUUAGCCCGGGUCCGAUUAGCUAGUUGGUGAGGUAACGGCUCACCAAGGCGACGAUCGGUAGCUGGUCUGAGAGGAGGAACAGCCUCAUUGGGGCUGAGACACGGCCCAAACUCCUACGGGAGGCAGCAGUGGGGAAUAUUGGACAAUGGGCGCAAGCCUGAUCCAGCCAUGCCGCGUGGGUGAUGAAGGCCCUAGGGUUGUAAAGCCCUUUCGGCGGGGAAGAUAAUGACGGUACCCGCAGAAGAAGCCCCGGCUAACUUCGUGCCAGCAGCCGCAGUAA